AGUCACUAGUGGUCAACUUAAUGGUCGCUCCACCCAGCCCAGGUUGCGAGGCGGAGCGGCAGGCUGGAGCUCUUGAGUGUGGGUGGCGGAACUGGGGAGUGUGCCUCAAAUACUACACGGCAAGAGAGAAUCAAGAAGAAAAUACUACACUGGUGGCCUUGGUUGGCGGAAGAGUGACUCAUGCAUCUCACGCACAGAAGACGGCUUUAUACAUGCAUAAAGCGGUUAUUAAACACAAGCAUCAGUUCAGCAGCACGUGUUGCUUACUUCUUUAUCGUGCCAUAUUUCGCACACCAGACAAGAUCAUUGAAUAAGAAAAUGGACUUUCCCAUUCAAGUCAUCGAACUGUGGACCGUCUCUGAAUGAAUAGUCUUCUUGUUUACAACAAUCGUGUGCUGGCAGCGCGACCUUACCGCAGAAGACGAGAUUAAUCUCGAUAACGAGCCCAAGCUCGGCGAUCGCCGCCGCGUUGGGGAGGAAGUCUGUUAUGCUGUAUAUAUACUGUUUGUUUUUGUGAAAAGUACAUUGUGACGUAAUUUCUGACAAAGGAAGGCUCUCUCUCAACACAUUGCAUAGAGCUGGCACUCCGACAAUGCGUCAUUUUAAAAAAUGAUGAUGAAUUUGAUGAUUUUUAUAUCAACAUUCAGUGUAUGGAACUAAAGUAAACAAUAUCCAUGUAAUUGAUCCUUAAUUGCUAUUUACAUAAAACAGUAAUAAUUGGUGAGUAGGGGAGAAAUACAGAGUGUUCUAAUUGUAUUGGAUAAAUGUGUGAAUGGCGUAAAGUUAGGGAACUUGUCAAGAUGAGCCCACUUGAGCUGCCCGGCAGUGGACGCCGACCCUUUCUUUCAUGUGGACCCAGGAAUUAGGUUUGUUUAUUAUUUUAUGUGUUACACUCAUGUUUGAUGAACACUACAAAUGCUGAAUUAUUAGGAAAAUCAGCUUUUGUAAAUAUCAUAAUUAUUGUUAUCGUCAUCAUCAUCAUCGUUAUUAUUAUCAUUACCAUUAUCAGUAUAAUUGUUACAGAUUUAUCAUUAUCAUUAUUUUUUUCCAUGCUACACAGGAUGUUCUUGUUGUUAUUGUUAUAUACUAUUGCUUCUUUUUAUGUAUUACAUGUUUGUUUCGCUACUCGUUUAUGCAUAAUAGUUUCUCUCUCUCUCUCUCUCUCUCUCUCUCUCUCUCUCUCUCUCUCUCUCUCUCUCUCUCUCUCUCCAUCCCUCCAUCCUUCCCCUCCUAUCUCCCCUCCCUCUCAGUUUCCCGUCACAUCAACUGCUUCCCUAUGGACUCAAUGUUAUCAGAAGCCUAUGUACUCACUCUCUCUCUCUCUCUCUCUCUCUCUCUCUCUCUCUCUCUCUCUCUCUCUCUCUCAUUUUCUAUCCCUGUUCACUUUUAUCUCCCCCUCUCUGCCUUUCUCCCAGUCACCUCUUCCCUCCCUCUGUUCUUCACCCCUCCCUGACCAAUCCUCCCACAGCCAUACACAGUAACAUUGCCCCAUAUGAACAGGAAAGGGGUGGGGGAGAU